rnacentral:rRNA from 1 species
AAGUCCUUCGGGAUGAGUAAAGUGGCGCACGGGUGAGUAAUGGUUGAGAACGUGCCCUGAGGUGGGGAAUAACAGUUGGAAACGACUGCUAAUACCGCAUGGUGACGAAAGUCUAAAGGUGGGGACCGCAAGGCCUACCGCCACAGGAUCGGCUCAACUCCCAUUAGCUAGUUGGCAGGGUAAUGGCCUACCAAGGCAACGAUGGGUAUGUGGUCUUAGAGGAUGAUCACACACACUGGAACUGAGACACGGUCCAGACUCCUACGGGAGGCAGCAGUAGGGAAUAUUGCACAAUGGACGAAAGUCUGAUGCAGCAACGCCGCGUGAGUGAAGAAGGCCCUUGGGUCGUAAAGCUCUUUAGCCUGGAAAGAAGUGCCCUUAAGUGAACAAUUUGAGGGUGUGACGGUACCAGGAGAAUAAGGUCCGGCUAAUUUCGUGCCAGCAGCCGCGGUAAUACGAAAGGACCAAGCGUUACUCGGAAUCACUGGGCGUAAAGCGCGCGUAGGUGGUCUUGUAUGUCGAUUGUGAAAGCCCCGGGCUCAACCUGGGAACUGCAGUCGAAACUGCAAGACUUGAAUGUUGGAGAGGUUGGGGGAAUACCUAGUGGAGAAGUGAAAUUCGUAGAGAUUACGUGGAACACCAGAGGCGAACGCGCCUGACUGGCAAACAUUGACGCUGAGGCGCGAAAGCGUGGGUAGCAAACAGGAUUAGAUACCCUGGUAGUCCACGCCGUAA